rnacentral:ncRNA from 2 species
CUCUUAUCCCGAGAGGUGGAGGGACUGGCCCAAUGAAACCCGGCAACCAUCCGGCAUCAUCCGGACAGGUGCUAAUUCCUGCAGAAGAUUUUCUUCUGACAGAUAAGAG